UGAUUUUAAUUUUGUUAAAUUAUGAGUGAAUUUUUUAAAUUUAUGGAAAAUGACUUUUGACCACUUGGACGAUUUUUUUCUGUCCCACGUGUCAACAAGUGUAUGGUUAAUUCACGCUGCCUCUAUUAUUAUCAUAUGACGGUUUUAAUUUCGAGAAUUAUUUAAACAAGAUCCUCUCGAAAAUGGCAGCACUAAAGUCCCAGGGAUAUAAAGUUGAGGAA
rnacentral:misc_RNA from 1 species